rnacentral:rRNA from 1 species
CCCUGAGGGGGAAAGCGGGGGAUCGAAAGACCUCGCGCGAUUAGAGCGGCCGAUGCCUGAUUAGCUUGUUGGUGGGGUAAAAGCCCACCAAGGCGACGAUCAGUAGCUGGUCUGAGAGGACGAUCAGCCACACUGGGACUGAGACACGGCCCAGACUCCUACGGGAGGCAGCAGUGGGGAAUUUUGGACAAUGGGCGCAAGCCUGAUCCAGCAUGCCGCGUGAGUGAAGA